UACGAAGGGGGCUAGCGUUGCCCGGAAUUACUGGGCGUAAAGGGCGCGUAGGCGGUUAGUUUAGUCAGAGGUGAAAGCCCAGGGCUCAACCUUGGAAUUGCCUUUGAUACUGGCUAUCUUGAGUAUGGAAGAGGUAUGUGGAACUCCGAGUGUAGAGGUGAAAUUCGUAGAUAUUCGGAAGAACACCAGUGGCGAAGGCGACAUACUGGUCCAUUACUGACGCUGAGGCGCGAAAGCGUGGGGAGCAAACAGG
rnacentral:rRNA from 1 species